rnacentral:piRNA from 1 species
GCGUCCGUUCUAGCCUGAGGCUG